CACGUAGGCGGCUUCGCAAGUCGGAUGUGAAAUCCCACGGCUCAACCAUGGACGUGCAUCCGAAACUGCGGGGCUUGAGUAUGGAAGAGGGUCGCGGAAUUCCCGGUGUAGAGGUGAAAUUCGUAGAUAUCGGGAGGAACACCAGUGGCGAAGGCGGCGACCUGGGCCAAUACUGACGCUGAGGUGCGAAAGCGUGGGGAGCAAACA
rnacentral:rRNA from 1 species